ACUGACCAACAUACGUCACUCGGAAGGGUAAUAGCAUUUAUAUCCUUUCUGAGUAACAAUAGCCAACAAAAAUACAUUUGAGAGCCCAAGGAUCAAGUUUACCAAUCAUAGAUCGAUGAUCUCGGACAAAACACACACACCCAAAUAUCCGAAGAUGUAUAAUAAAAGAAGGUACUCCUUGUAGGCACUCAAGUGGCAUGCGA
rnacentral:lncRNA from 1 species